rnacentral:ncRNA from 1 species
CAGAGUAGGCGUCCGAGCGUUGAACCGUAAAUCGGUCUGAAGUGUUGUCCGCACAGGGAGUUGGCGGACGAACGAAGUGUUAAAAAACCGCGGUUCGGUCGCCGCAUCCCGCUG